GGAAGUGGUGUUGAACCGCGAUUCCACACAGCUCUCUCCUCUCUUUUCUUUUUAAAAAAAAGCUCCUUCAUCUAGUUUUCCUGACCUAAAUUAUCAUUUUGCUUUUAUCAUCUGUGGGCCAUAUGUCCUGGUUUCACACCGUCCAGCCACAGUAGGCUUGGACAGGGCGGAGGGGGGAGACUACAACUCCCGGAAGCCUCGCCGCCGACCUCGCCCUCCGUCUGGGCUGGACUCGCCUGGGUGACACGUCGGGCAGCCAAUGGCUUCCCCCUGUCUCAGACCCGGGGGCCAAUCACAGGCCGGGUAGGUGUGUGCGUCCUGUUUCUGCGACUCGGGGCGGACAUGGUCUUGAACCCAGCUCACUUCUCUCUUUUCUUAUUUUUAUUUUAUUUUAUUUUAUUUUUUGAAGGCAGAGUGGACAGUGAGAGAGAGACAGAGAGAAAGGUCUUCCUUUUGCCGUUGGUUCACCCUCCAAUGGCCGCUGCGGUCAGUGCGCUGUGGCCAGCGCACCGUGCUGAUGCGAUGGCAGGAGCCAGGUGCUUUUCCUGGUCUCCCAUGGGGUGCAGGGCCCAAGCACUUGGGCCAUCCUCCACUGCACUCCCGGGCCACAGCAGAGAGCUGGCCUGAAGAGGGGCAACUGGGACAGAAUCCGGCGCCCCAUCGGGACUAGAACCCGGUGUGCCGGCGCCGCAAGGCGGAGGAUUAGCCUAGUGAGCCGCGGCGCUGGCCUUCUCUCUUUUCUUGAAAAUAAAAGCUCUAUGAUCUAAUUUUCCUGACCUAAGUUAUCAUUUUUCUUUUAUCAUCUGUGGGCCAUAUUCCCUGGUUUCACAUUGUCCAGCCACGCUCGGCUUGCACAGAGCGGGGCGGGGAGACUACAACUCCCCAAAGCCUCAGCGGCGGCGGCGACGCUCUACGUGUGGGCUGUACUGGCCUGAGUGACAGGUAGCCGACCCAAUGGCUUCCCCGGUCUCAGACUCCGGACCGCUCAGACGCGGGGUGGGUGUGUGCUUCCUGUUUCGGAGGCGUCUGCUCGGGGCGGAAAUUCUAUAUGUAAGAGCUGAGAAAGCUUUCUUUUCUUUCAAAAAAAAAAAAAAAAGCUGUGGGGCCUAAUUUUCCACCUGAGCUAUCAUUUUCCUUUUAUCAUCUGUGGGCCAUAUUUCCUGGUUUCACAUUGCCCCGCCACCCUCUGCUUGGACAGGGUGGACCGGGGAGACUACAACUCCCCAAAGCCUCAGCGGCAGGGCGCUCUGCGGCUGGGCUCGUCUGAGUGACAGGUCGGGCAGCCAUUGGCUUCACGCGGUCUCAGACUCCGUUGCCAAUCAGAUGCUGAGUGGUUGUGUCGCCCUGUUUCUGCGGCUCGGGGCGGAAAUGGUGUGGAAAGGAACCGCCUCGAGCCACGCCCCUCGCGGCUCCUGACUGGACGCGGGAAGUGACGUCUGCGCGCACCACGCGGCAGUCGUCCCGCCCAUGUCCAGCUCGGACCGGACCGGGCAGCUUCGGGUCUGUGUCCCGCACGUCCCUGGCAGCCCCUGAGCGGGCGCGUACCCGCCUGUCCGUCCGCCAGAACCUCGCCCUGUAGCUUGGCCCUGCCUGCCCUUGUCUGGGAGGAGGAACGCGCAGUAGGAGCCCAGAACCUGUCUUCUGCCACGCUGCCUGCCCGCGCCCAGCACGGGCGGGACAGGCCGGACUGUUCCUCCUCAUCCAGCAGAGCCACUCAGGGCCGGCCAGAGGGCGAGGUUCUGAACCUAGACCUGCGCCUCACUCGUCCAGGGAGGCCAGGCAGCCACCGGCGAGGAAGGAGGUGGCGUUCUGAG